GAUGAACGCUGGCGGCGUGCCUAAUACAUGCAAGUCGAGCGAAUGGACGAUAAGCUUGCUUCUCUGAUGUUAGCGGCGGACGGGUGAGUAACACGUGGAUAACCUACCUAUAAGACUGGGAUAACUUCGGGAAACCGGAGCUAAUACCGGAUAAUAUUUUGAACCGCAUGGUUCAAAAGUGAAAGACGGUCUUGCUGUCACUUAUAGAUGGAUCCGCGCUGCAUUAGCUAGUUGGUAAGGUAACGGCUUACCAAGGCAACGAUGCAUAGCCGACCUGAGAGGGUGAUCGGCCACACUGGAACUGAGACACGGUCCAGACUCCUACGGGAGGCAGCAGUAGGGAAUCUUCCGCAAUGGGCGAAAGCCUGACGGAGCAACGCCGCGUGAGUGAUGAAGGUCUUCGGAUCGUAAAACUCUGUUAUUAGGGAAGAACAUAUGUGUAAGUAAAUGUGCACAUAUUGACGGUAACUAAUCAGAAAGCCACGGCUAACUACGUG
rnacentral:rRNA from 1 species